rnacentral:rRNA from 1 species
AGAGUUUGAUCAUGGCUCAGGAUGAACGCUAGCGGCAGGCUUAAUACAUGCAAGUCGAGGGGCAGCACGAAUAGCAAUAUUUGGUGGCGACCGGCAAACGGGUGCGGAACACGUACGCAACCUUCCCAAAACAGGUGAAUAGCCCUCCGAAAGGAGGAUUAAUACACCGUAAUAUAUAGAGGUGGCAUCAUUUUUAUAUUAAAGGCAGCGAUGUCGGUUUUGGAUGGGCGUGCGCCUGAUUAGGUAGUUGGUGUGGGUAACGGCCCACCAAGCCUUCGAUCAGUAACUGGUGUGAGAGCACGACCAGUCACACGGGCACUGAGACACGGGCCCGACUCCUACGGGAGGCAGCAGUAAGGAAUAUUGGUCAAUGGACGGAAGUCUGAACCAGCCAUGCCGCGUGAAGGAUGAAGGCCCUCUGGGUUGUAAACUUCUUUUAUCUGGGACGAAAAAAGGGUUUUUUAACUCACUUGACGGUACCAGAGGAAUAAGCACCGGCUAACUCCGUGCCAGCAGCCGCGGUAAUACGGAGGGUGCAAGCGUUAUCCGGAUUUACUGGGUUUAAAGGGUGCGUAGGUGGGUGAGUAAGUCAGUGGUGAAAUCUCCGGGCUUAACCCGGAAACUGCCAUUGAUACUAUUUAUCUUGAAUACUUUGGAGGUAAGCGGAAUAUGUCAUGUAGCGGUGAAAUGCUUAGAUAUGACAUAGAACACCAAUUGCGAAGGCAGCUUACUACACAGUGAUUGACACUGAGGCACGAAAGCGUGGGGAUCAAACAGGAUUAGAUACCCUAGUAGUCC